UUUUUUUCUUUCAGCCGCUUCCUUCCCCUCUCUAUUUUAUCCUCUCCUCUAUUCUUUUCUUUUUCCUCUUCUCCCCUCAAACCCACGGCCACCACAGCCGCCACCAUGUACGAACCCCAAUGAGGGGUCAAAUAGACCCCUUAAAACCUUACUCCUUAAACCAAAGACCCUAAGCCUUUCAAAAUAGAACCCCUUUUCUUUUGAACCAAUACAAAGCAUAACCCUAAACAACACCUUAUCCGCCCAUCUCCGACCAAGGCAAUCUCCAUGGUCACUGCCCCAUGAAGGCUCCUAUGAGGAACCUAGACAAAAUAGACCCCCUUCUCGUAAACCAAACCCUAUAUCUAACCAAAACACCCAACUUUUCUAAACCCUAGACCCAUUAGCUAAGAUUCCUGGAAAACAACUUUUCCCCAAAGACCCUGAACACAAAGACACGGACUAACGACGAAGGAUUUACCUUCAACUCGACGGGGUUUUCGCUCCUAGCAACGUCGACGAGGACUUCUGGACAGGAAAGGUACCAUCCAAGUGGUUGCACGAACGAGACAGCUGGCCCAUGUGAAGGCUUCGGGUGGAGCUAGGCCGUUGGAUCACUAAUUGGAUCCAACGGUUAGCAUUAGUGUGGCGGCGGUAGAAGAUGAUCUUAGGGUUAACAAAACCUAACUCAAGUAUAAUCCGACCGUUGAUCUCACAAGAGAUCCAACGGUGCAUGUUUAGGCGACGCUGGGAAUGACAGAAACCUUAUUUGUGUGGGACUACUACUUCUUGGGGCUCAAAUGGUUCAUUUGUAAUUAUUUUGGGCUUGUAAAAUAAAAUAUUUAAUUAGUACA